rnacentral:rRNA from 1 species
AACGAACGCUGGCGGCAUGCCUAACACAUGCAAGUCGAACGAGACCUUCGGGUCUAGUGGCGCACGGGUGCGUAACGCGUGGGAACCUGCCCUUAGGUUCGGAAUAACUCCCCGAAAGGGGUGCUAAUACCGGAUAAUGUCUUCGGACCAAAGAUUUAUCGCUUUUGGAUGGGCCCGCGUUGGAUUAGCUAGUUGGUAGGGUAAAAGCCUACCAAGGCGACGAUCCAUAGCUGGUCUGAGAGGAUGAUCAGCCACACUGGGACUGAGACACGGCCCAGACUCCUACGGGAAGCAGCAGUGGGGAAUAUUGGACAAUGGGCGAAAGCCUGAUCCAGCAAUGCCGCGUGAGUGAUGAAGGCCUUAGGGUUGUAAAGCUCUUUUACCCGGGAUGAUAAUGACAGUACCGGGAGAAUAAGCUCCGGCUAACUCCGUG